rnacentral:rRNA from 1 species
CACCCGCGCCACAAGUGGGAGCCUCGUUUAUUGGGUCUAAAGCGUCCGUAGCAUGUUUUGUAAAUCCUCUGUGAAAUCGUUUGGCUCAACCAAACGGCGUGCAGGGGACACUGCAGAACUUGGAACCGGGAGGAGUUAGGAGUAUUCUGGGGGGAGCGGUAAAAUGCUAUAAUCCUCAGAGGACUACCUGUGGCGAAGGCGCCUAACCAUAACGGAUUCGACUGUGAGGGACGAAAGCUAGGGGAGCGAUCCG